UCCUUUUGAAUUGAUAGCUUCAGAUGGUUUUUUCUGAAGUCUGUCACUGGCUGAUUUCUUGGUUUCUGGAUCUAAAGUUGUGGGGUCACUGGCACUGGGAUCAGAGGAGAGCGUUUGGCUCCCUGUUCUUCAGGUUCAGCGGUCGGACUUCAGCCUGCAUCAUUUUCCAAGCACUGUGGAAUGUUUCACUCCAGGCUCACUCUGUGUUCAGGGAACAAAUUGCCCAUAUGUUCUGUUGGUGCUGAGACUGCAGCCUCCCAGUCCUGAGAUGAGCCCUUGCCAAAGCUGAACGUUUCAUCCAUCUGUCCUAGCCCAGCAAACUAUCAGAGUCAUUGUUCAACAGGAGAGUGGAGAAGUCCAAAGAACUCUUUUUUACAACCCUAGGCUGGCACCACUGCAAUCUGAGUCUGCUGAGAGAAGAGAAUGGGGAGAAACAAGCCAUGGAAAGGCUACUGUAAGAAAAUUAUAGAAAAAGGAAUUUGCAUAUCUUAAGUAACAAUUCCUGAAGCCCUCCUGUUCCACCAGCUUUCAGUGGGACUUGAUCUGUGGACAACACAAAGAACUAAUUUGCAUUAAGAAAGCAACGUUUUUACAGUAUGUUUUGAUUGCUUUCUUGCCUGUGGUUUUAUACGUUGAAACAGAGGACCAGAGAGUUGACUCUCUGAAAUUAACUUCUGAAAGGUGACUUCAAUUAAACGCUGCUCUGUAUCAUCCUCACCACAAUUUGUUGUUGUUGUGUUUUUUUACAGCUCUGCUAAUCACAACCACCUGAUGGCACUGCUUCAG